UACGUAGGUGGCAAGCGUUGUCCGGAUUUACUGGGCGUAAAGGGCGUGCAGGCGGUCUGUUAAGUCUAGGGUGAAAGCUCCCGGCUCAACUGGGAGAGGUCCUUGGAUACUGGCGGACUUGAGGGAGGCAGAGGAAAGUGGAAUUCCCGGUGUAGUGGUGAUAUGCGUAGAUAUCGAGAGGAACACCUGCGGCGAAGGCGGGUUGCUGGGCCGACACUGACGCUGAUGCGCGAAAGCCAGGGGAGCGAACGGG
rnacentral:rRNA from 1 species